rnacentral:rRNA from 1 species
CCCUUAGAUGUUCUGGGCCGCACGCGCGCUACACUGAACAGUUCAACAAGUCUUAACCUUGGCCGAUAGGUCUGGGUAAUCUUUGAACGCUGUUCGUGAUUGGGAUAGACCUUUGCAAUUAUGGGUCUUCAACGAGGAAUUCCUAGUAAACGCAAGUCAUCAGCUUGCAUUGAUUACGUCCCUGCCCUUUGUACACACCGCCCGUCGCACCUACCGAUUGAAUGGUCCGGUGAAUCUUUAGGACUGUGGCUGAGGCCUUGCCUUGUGCGGGUCUGGCCGUGGGAAUUUAGUUAAACCUUACCAUUUAGAGGAAGGUGAAGUCGUAACA